CCGCCCGUGUGCUCCCGGCAGGAGUUUCAGCAGGCGGAAGAUUCGCAAACCCCGCUGAGCAGCGGGAUACAAACCAGGCUCAUUUGGGGCAUCCAUCGCUUCGGCACCUGGCGCGAUCGGUGUGUGCCGCCACAGCCGCAACAGGCGUGGUGACAAGGACAUCCCGAGUCUCUGUAGCAGGGAGUGUCGCGGACAAGCGCUGGGUAUUUCUCCAGCACAGAGAACGAAGUGCAGCGCACAGCCAGACAGCCCGGGGCGGAGGUCAGGGAUCCGCCCUGUCACCGUCUGGGCCGGCAGCGGGACGAAAGCAGCCGGCCGGGAAGAAGUGCUGCCAGGGGAGAGCUGCCUGGGCCCUUUGGCACACUGCUGUGAGAGAGGCUGGGAAGGAGCUGGGAGUUUUUUCCAAGAGCCUUUGGACAUCAGAGUUACUGAGGGCAAACUGAUGUGUUUAGGAGGAAGUCACUGAAAGGAGGGAAAUCAAUUUGAAGUCCCGUGACUGCCAAGAGGGCUUUGUUUUUCUCGCAGGUUUGAGCUGGGAAAGGUCUCCACGGGGAGAGCCUUUGGAUCUGUGUUUCAGGCACAGCAGUGACUCUGCCUCGCCCUUACAGUGUCUCUCGAGCCAGGCCUGGGCAUUUGAGGUCACUGCCCAAGUGGAGAUGCAAACCCAGCUACACCCUGAGCUGUAGCUAAGCCUGGGCCCUGCCCUAAUGCUAGGCUACCUCUUGCCAGUCGUCUGCGUGCCCAAGAACUACCCCUUCCUCUCUGGGGAUGUUCUGUGACCUGGAAGGCAGCACCCCAGCCCUUCAUUUCCUUGCAGGGAUUGGAGCUGAGCUGUGGAAUUCAAAACACCAGCAGAUCUGCUUUAUGUAGCUCUGGAAGCACAUGCAAUAGUACAGCAUCCAGAAAACAGCCAUCUCUGUGAUUUCACCCCACUGGAUCAUGCCAGGGCUCUGCCACUAGGAGAGCUCUGGCAGUGGGGAGCACCACUGGCUCCUGGAAAAGCAAGGAGCUGCAGCAAACAGAACUGCCAAGGAAGCUGUAGUACUCAUUAACAAACAUGCACAGCUUACCAGUUUCUAUUUGUCAUACUGGGUGGGCAGCCAAAUCUUUGAACUUCAUUUCCCUCCUCUCCCUCACCAGAAUGAGGAGCUCCUGCAGUGCUGGCACCGCCACCAUCGUAGUCUACACAUUGUAAUCUUUAUUCCCUAUGAACUGCAUUAUCAGCAAAAAGAUUAAGUUUGCCUGUAGUAUUUAGGGCAAGUCUCUGAGUGUGUACUACGCUCCCCUUUAUCAGUGCCUUGUUGCUAGCACACGAUAAAACUCUACCAGCAGUCAUGUCUGAAGCUCGUUAAAAUAGAAGGUACGUGAGAGCCAGGAAACUCAGAACUAAACCCCACACUUGACAUUUACCAAAGAUCAGACUACUGAGAGUCAACUGGGGAAAAGGAAAUGCGUUUUCUGACUAUUGCAGCUCUGUCACAAUGAGAUUUUUCAGUGCUGACAGUCUCAGGGCCAGAUGGUACAAGCUGUACAGAUCCAUAUCAUUGAAGAUAAUGUGUACCUGCCAACUUACCAUCUUAAAUACUUAGUACAUAACAUGAAGAAAAAGAGUCUGUCUUCACAAACAGCAGAACUUGCACAUUCAUGUCUUUUUAGUUCUUUCCCACUGUCACACCACAGGGGAGCCUGCCUACUUCCUUCUUUCUUACACAAUAGCUCGAAGUUAAUUUAGUACCUCAAAGCAGAGCAAGAGCUGGAUUAAUAGAAGCUAAUCCAGGAAGUGAGCUGAGUGAUGCUAAGGAGACAUGAACAAGAUUGAUCCCUACACAGUUGAAUUUAAAAAGAUUGUGCUGUUGAUUAAGAGAAAUUAUUUCACCAAAAUUUUUGGCCUAUACUUCAGUGUUUUGGGUUCACUCCUCACCAUGAACUAGUCCUUUGUUCUCAGAACUAAAAGCAAGAAAAAAUACCAGUAUAUUUAUAUUUAAAUUUAUUAAUUGCAUGCAUUUUCCUUCUCAGCUCAAGACGCUGUUACUAAAACAGAUGGAGUAUCAGGCUCGAUCCCAGUUUCCAUUCUGGAGCUUUCCCCAAGCACAGCAGACAGUGUUUUAGUGGCCUUUGCUCUGAAAAAUCCUGUUGUGGUUACCCCAGGAAUGAGUGUUUAUAGGCUUCAGGCCAGUGUCAGUGAGAAACAGCUCUUCAAACCCACGAGAUGAGAAACAGUAACUGGCAGCUCAUCUCCACUCCUUCCAAACCAGUGAGGCUUGCUGACAACACUGCAAGCAGCAAAAAGCAGAGGAAGGCUGUAAGAAAAGCUCUUUUCCACCAGUCCACUAUCCCAUAAAAUGUAAGACACCUGGCAUUCUCAAGUCACUUUUUGCGUGAUCAUCAUUCCUUCACCUAGAGCCUUUGUGUGCACAGUACAGCUUUGAGAGUGCAGCUCAGCUGCAGAGGCAAAACACAUUAACAGCUCUAUUAUCCAUCCUGAUUCCUACCAAGGCCAGACCAGGGUUAGCAUACUUCUGGGAAUAUCCUUGCUUUCAGGGAAAAAAAAAUAGGUUGGCUACCCUAAAACUCAUUGAUUUCUCCAUAUGUGUUACUUGAUCAGAUGAAGAGUAUUACAGUCCCUCCAAAUUUGCCAAUGUUUUCAGGCCCACAUAAACAGACAUUGUGUGUUUCAUGUUCUGCCACAUCAAAGGCAAUCACUCAAAGCAGCAGACCUCCCUCUGAAGCGUCAGUUCCACUUAAACUGAAAUACCCCUCCUGGUCAUUAGUAUCUCCAAGCUGUGGUAACUGCAGGGCUCAUGCCUUUCAGAGUUUCCACUGAGCUAUCACAGAGAACUGAUUGUUGACUCAGGUUCCUGGUUAACUCUAGGGUUAACAUGUAAGCUAUUUUACCUGUUUUUCUAAUUUAUAAGCUAAUCUGCCUGUCUUUCUCAUCCACAGUCAAGCAGGCAUCUCCCAACCUCAUAAACUCUGUUCUGGUAACUUCUCUUCAAGACAGGUGGAGUUCAUAAGCAGCAAGCAGUCAUCUGCAUUACAAAAAGUGGGUCAGCCAGGCAAUCAAAAACAUUCUUGGCCUUCUCUUCCCUGGCCAUAGGACAAAUAAUGCUUUUUGUUUCCUCCUUCAGUAACAGGAGGUUUAAGCCUUUUGCAUGCUGCAGUCAACACCCUGGGGUACAGGAAGUUUCAAAGACCAAAUGUUAUUUGCUGCUGUACCACAUGCCAGUAAAUGGACUUUUUUUUUUUUUAAUGAAUCUCUUGUUGUUGCCGUGACCUGCUUUUUCUUGUAUCUUACUUUUUAAGGUGUCACUUCUAAAUGAAACAUGAAAUCAUGGUAGCCAGUUUAUGUAUAAAUACUAUGUCUUAGAAUUCUGUGAUUCCAGGAGAAAAUGGUUUUCUCUUCAAAAAGUAGUUUACUAUGGCAAAGGUUUGACAAUGUGAAUGUUGGGGAUCUUUCAGUACAAGCAGGAGCAGGAUUUUUUUUAAAUACAGUUCUGUGCCAAACCCCACCUCUCUCCUUUGAGAUCCCCUGCUAGAAUGGGUGCAGAACCAUACCUUCCAGUGCUCUGAGUGAUAAUACCUUCCCUCUUUUUUGGGCUACCUCCUUGGCAUCUGCUGCUGCUUGAACCCACUUUUAAUGAUAGCUUUUUAGGACCUAACACCAUUAUUCUUGUUCUGUACAAGAUUUUAGAUCUGUGGAUGCUGAUGUAAGGCUCUGUGGGGCCUCAUUUCCUCUCUUCUGCAUCACAAUUGACUAAAAUAAAAGCAUUAGGUGACUCAGGAGUAGGCGUGAAGCACACUGUAACUUAUCUCUCAUGAUGCUGAAGAGCACAACGUGGGUCUCCCUUAACCAGCAUCCUGUUUCCUUCUGCCAGACUUCUCCUCUUGCACUGCAUUCCUGUUUAAAUCCCCACACUCACAUCGUUGCAUUCCUGCUGCCCAGGAGUUCUGUUCAUCCCAAUCGCUCUGCCUGGCUGUGGCACUGCUGCUGCCCAUGCAAUGCAUGCAAAGCAGAAACAUUUGGAGUUCCUAAGCUCGUGUCUCAGUCUCCCUUUGGGGCAGAAUCUCGCUUUAACCCUUGGGUUACCCUCUGCUGUUUAUCCCCUUGCACUCUUGAAAUGAGUGAUCAACAGUCUCUUCAGCUUCUUAGUUGCUGUACACAUCAGCCAGAAACAGGACUCUUUAUUUCUGGCAGGAAGCAUGUGUCUGAGUUUCCAGUUCUUGUAUUCCUGGGAUCUGGAUGGAAAUUGUUACAGCUGGACCUUCAUCCCUCUAGACACACAUAAAUACUCAUCAGGGAUAUGUCAUGUUCUCGUGCUGUUGAGCCUUCAGGGAAUUUCCAAAAGAUCCUUCCAGUUUCACUUGAAGUAAACAGACACAGGAGAACUGUCACAGUCUGGCUGCUUGCCUGGAUCUUCCAGCUCCUGAUAUAGCAUGGAGGUACAACAAGAAGUGUCAAUUGCAGUAAUUGUGCACUUCUCUCCACUGGAAGACCUCCUGUGUUUAGGAGCUGAGCUCACUUCUUUGACUUUCUACACUGCUAGGGUGUCUCCCCUGUCCAGUAGCAGGUUUUUGUUACCAGCAGCACACCAGCUGGUGAGCUCUGACCUCAUUACCUAACAAUCUGUUAGAUUGGAUCCAAGAGUUCAGAAGUAACCUGAGAUAAGAAUGUCCACGUUGACCCUGUUUUUCCUAGAAGCCAGAUCAAAGUAGAGUCAGGUCUGUCAUCUAAAGGGCUGGUGUUCUGCAGAUGGGUGAUGAUGAACAGUGAAACUGAAGGGCAGAGAUUGUAGAGUGCCCAGGGAAAUCAUCCUCUGCUCUGACACAGCUCAGCACUAUUGAUUCAGGGAACUUCUGAGUAGUUUUUGCAGUUGUGAGCACAUAAUUUUACUUUAAUUGAGUUUCCACUCAUAGGACAUAGACUUGACAAUGGCUUUGGUGUUAAUUUCACCCAUCAGUCCUAGGAGAGCAUCUUUAUAACUUAAAAGGGAGGCUCCGUUCUGAUGCCACUCAAGAUUUCUUGAUUUCAGUCUUACUACCUGCCCCAUAUAUUGUGGUGGGGAUAUGUUGGGCAUUUUGGGGUUUUUUUGAUUAGUUACACAUUUUCCUAUAAUUUCUGGAUAAAGUCUGUCUCUCUGUGAGAUUUGUUCAAGGUGUGUCUACCUCUAACCUCUGCCUUCUGUGUGAGUCACAGCUAAAGGACUAAAGCCCACCAAAAGUCAGGCUUGUGUCAGUGCCUGCAUGGGAGGGACAUUGCUGAGCUGUAACUCUGCAGAGACACACUGCUCAUGGAAAGUGGUGAGAUUAUGCUCAGGGAGAUGUUGGCUUCCAGCUGUUCUCCAGAAAUCCACCUGGGCAGGGCAGGGCAGGGCACAGCUGGGCAGGACAGGGCAAGACAGGGCUUUUUCCUGAGCUGUGAAAUGCUCACAAAGUCCUGCUGGUUUCUCUGGAGGGCCUGGCAGUAAUACCAGAACAAAAAGAAGCUUCUCAUUACUGCUUGGGGCUAUCAGCAGUGAGAGAGUCGGUUUGGGCUUUCCUUUUCUGAGCUGUCAGCAGAGUAGAAGCACAAUGGAAAUUGUCCCCCAGGCUGGAGAUCAAGAAGGAGGCAAAGCUAAACUUGGCAGAGUGAAGUACUAAUGCAUAAAUUGAUCUUCCCCUCAGCCUGGUCAGCCUUCAACUGGAUUUUGAGUAUCCACAUAAGCUGCCCUGAUCCAGUGUCACCAACACUGAGAACAUGCUGUUAUGUAAUGAAUCUAUGUGAGCACCGCAGAAGGAACAGCAAACAGCAAAAUUCUGGCCUCCCACUUCACUCUUCACAGCUCCAAAAGCCCCACUCCUACUGGAAGGUUAAACCAACAAUGUUUUUUGUUUAAAAAGAUUGUAGCCUUGUUGCUGGCUUUUGGCUGUUGUUGCUGGUAUCCUUUUAGUUGAAUUUAUCCAUGAUCUCCCACAAUUAUGGAGAGUCCAUCCUUUAGGAGCAGGAAGAGCCAUGCAGCUUCCAGAACAGCUCAGACUGCUUCUCCAUUCCCAGUGCUCACACAGCUCAGGAGAAGGAAAACAGAAGCCUUGGGCUUGCACUGAGGCAGGGGAACCCCAGGAGACCUCUGCCCUGCUGGAGCACGAUUCCAUGCACUGUGUUCCUGAGUCAGCUGAAGCCAGACUUGAAUUCCCUGGAUGAAAGCAUCAGACUAAGACUGCCUUAAACCCUGAAGUGAGCAGAAACAGAAGAGACCCAGCCUCUGGCCUAAGGCUUAUUUACUGCCUAAAGGCAAAGACACUUCACAGACAGAGAGCUGUUCUUAGUCUCCAAUGUAAGCUCCUUAACUGCUCUUCUCAAGUGCUCCCUCCCUAAUCUUUUAUUUUUAGAUUAGCUAUUUUUAAGAGAUUGCUUACUGCCUACUUAGAGGUUUUUGAUGCUCACAUUUCUCAGUACUGAAUGCUGUUUUAUUUGCAGUUGCAUCACACCAAUUAUUUAUCUACUGGCUGGAUCACAGAAUUUGACCUUGGCAGGCAUGGGAACAGAGACCUCUAAUUAAAAAACCCAAGUUACUAAAAGAAAAAAAAAAAGAAAAUAAAAAUCAAAGCUGCAAUGACUCAGUCACUGGGUCACAUUACGCUGAGAAUACAGCAGAUUCUCAGGGUGGAGACCUCUUUUCCAAGGGUGAUGCAAUCUGCAAGUCCUGACCUCUCAGCACUUUUCAAACCAGGGUGUAAUACAUAGAAUUUGGCAAUGUAUUUCAGGGCUGUUACACUGACGGAUACUCCUCUUGUAUUUUCAGUUGUGACUUCAAACUUUCAACUUUUCCCCCUAAAAAGCAGGGGAGGGGGGAGCAGAGAGAACCCUGAUUCCCUUAGAAAAAGAAAUAUGAAUUUGCUGAUGGACAUCUACCAACUGCAAUGACCUACUAGCCAAGCAUCCUCAGCUCCCAGUGCCAACAUCAACAAGCCACUUAAAUGGCUUUCCUUCCUGUCACCACUGCCAUUCCCAUUGCUCCCAGCUCAGGUGGAUGGCUCUACAAGAUCUUGGAAGGAGCUCCCUGGCUCCACACAGCCCUGCCUCUGCAUGGACAUCUCUUGUGCAACCUGGUCGAGCUCAUGCAGCAAAGAGGUGGAUGAAGCAUUGCUUGAAAUCUGAGGAGCCUGAGCUGCCUGUGUCUGAUUUUGAUCAGGCCUUCAAAAUCAAGGGAUAGCAGGUCCAGGACCUGUCAAACCACAACUCCUCUCCAACAACAAAUAGAGGAUUGGGGGUAUUUGUGUGCAGAAGCAUCAGAAACAGCUGAGAAGUAGGAUACAUCUGUCUGCUACUCAGCUACCUGAGCAAAAGAAAUCCAUGUGCUCACAAAACCCUUUCAGGCUGUUACUACCAAUUUUUCCUCCUGAUGGAGACAACUGUGCUCAGAUUCAUUCAAAUCUGCUUUUGAGUAGAGAAAGCAGCAGCCUUCUGCCUAUUCUGCACCACAGCCCUGUCUGGAAGUUACACAGAGACCAAACCACACUUUCAGUCACUGUGGCUUUGCACUGCAAGGCUUUCAGAUCCAAAGCCAGAAGAUCGAAGUCAAAUGUUUCCAAGUCACAUGAUGACUGAGCUGAUAAGAAGUAUUGAAUUCCUGGAAUGCAGGCAUUUUGGAGGAAAAUGUAUCACUUUUCAGUGGCUACUAGAGUAAAUGAACUUCUCUGUACAAGUCAUACAUAUUCAACCUAACAAAGGUUGCCAGUUGAAGUGCUGUGGGUCACAUGGGAAGACUCAUUACUUGUCCGGUAAAGAGGAUGUGAAAAGAUCCAUAACUGAUUGAUGUCAGCUUCCCCCCAAUUUCCACUUCAGCAACACUUUAAACUAGGGAAAAUUGUUGGCAGCUUUUUUCAAGCCAGGCUUCAUACCCCAUGGCUCCUUUGCUAUCCCUAUCCAAGAUGCUGCUGUUCUUAGAAGUGCCAGAUUUUAUCUGCAUCUAUCUAAAGUUUAUGUGCAGUUUGUGCAAGAUGCAAUCUCACCAUGAGAUAAAGAAGAUACAACGAUUGCAUACUUCAGAAGGAAAAAGCAGACUUGUAAAACACUGCUUUAUCCUAGAAUUUUUUUCUCUUAACACAACAGUUGAAAGGUAAUGUCUGAUGUAAACAAUGACAAUUACUUCCUCUUGCCUUUUGAAUUCUGCCAAUUGCAGUAAAGAGGCUUUGUACUGCUCAUAAAGUAAUGCACAGUAGUUUAUUGUUUAUAAAGUAGUUGUGCACGCUGAAAUAUAAAGCAGCCAAACAUCAGAAAAUAGAGUUAAGAUCUCAACUCUUCUGAAUUUGAAGGGUUACACACUUAUAUUGGCCCUGUAGGCUUUGCUGACCUGCAAUGAGGACUGGUUGCUUUCCUUCCCUCACACCAGUCUCUACAAUGUUCUCAACCCUUGCCCUCCUUUAGAGAGGCAUUCAGUGGAUAAGUCACUAAAUCAUUGAUGGAUGCAGAUGCUGGAUCAGGCCUUUAGCAAAUAAAAAAUCACUUAUUGGGUUGGAGACAGCUGAGUGGAGUGUAGGGGACUUGUGGACAUGCUUUCCAGCUAAUAAUUUAUUCCCAUGGAUAAUCCUCCAUUGUGCAAACAGUCCCACUGAACACAGGAAUUACAGUUAAGGACAGCAGGAUGAAACCCUGAGAUAAGAUGCAGAGUAAACAAAGUAUGCUAUUAAAGCUAUUAAUUAAUGUGUACUAAUAGGCACCUAAUGAAUACAGAAUGGCCAUGAGUCACGAAGCUUCACUUCUUCCUGAGCUUAUCAGCAAAACUGUUCUCAGUGCAAAGCCAGAGUGCCAUUUUUAAAUAUAGCUACUGUCCAUAAGCUGAGGCUGUGACCUGUCUGUGACUGGGCAACUGGAGGUGACAAUGUCACCCUGGGCAUAAAGUUUCGACAGGAGCUCAGUGUUUUCUGUUCAAGUCACUCUCUCUGCUAUCCUCUCAGCUAGGGAUAAUUUUGAUUUAUGUUUUUAACAUGCUUAAUUUCUUUUGCCCAGUACUCUGAGAAAAGUCAAGGUUUACUUAUCUAGCCAAUGUGUUUAUAUUUUCCUAUUUUCCAAUACAUUCUGAAUCUGUACACUGGUUUUGGACUAUACUGACAAAGGGGCAAGGCCAUGGGAAAAUACAUCACGAGAUGUCCCAUGUCAUUUGCAAGCCAGAUUCCCAGCACCUGAAAGGAUGCAGGAUCUGCUGUCCAUCUUUAUUCCUAUUUUCAUUCUACUGUACUACAAUACCUGUUUUAUUAUGCCCCUUGUUCUUGGGGUUUUCUUAUUGAGAUCUGGAAGAGCCAUGCACCAUCUCGCCCACUUACCCUCCCAGGGGUGCACAGCAGGAUCUGGGUCACGUUGGGCAGAGGAUGCACAGGCAGGACAGAGAGGCAGAGCUCAUGUGCCACUUCUGGGGGAAAACCUGCUGCAUAAAAUUAGUCUUUAAAACACACAAGUGGGAGAGAGAUGCUGACAAAAACUUUUCUACUCCAGAAUCUGUAAUAUUUAAUUUUAAAACAUUUUGUGAAAGGUGCUGCAACUCAGUUGAUAAAUAUAAAACCACCUCUGAGUGGUGAAGGCGUUUGUGCAAGAGCAUCAAUUGGAAAACAAGAUAUCUUUGUUUUAUUUCUACAGUAGUUUGACAAAUACUUUCCUCGUUGAAACAAAAAGGAUUUUCUGAAUACUUAUUUUUGUAGAAACAUCUGCUGUGUGGGAAGUUAUUUGACCAAAAAAACAUAUCUCUUUAUUUAUAUUAGAAAGUUCUAAAAGUCUGGAGCAUGUUACAAAACAAAGCAAAGAGAAAUAAACAGGAAAUAAGUGACCGAGUAGUCACAACAUUUUAAGGUCAGUUCCCCUUGCUUUGGGUUUAAGUUGUACUCUUUCCCAAUGUGUAUUUUUUUCAAGGAAUUUUCUCUUUCUGCCUUUUUUUUGGUGACUCUUUUUCCUUUCCUGCUGUAAUUGAAUUAUUCCCUUUGGUCCUCUAGAGGGUUUGAAAACAAGUAAACUUUAUUUCUACUUCACACUGGGUGUGACAAUGCCUAUGCACAAGUCACAAACUGCGCUUCAGAAUAUGUCAAACCCUGGUUCACUGACUGCCUUUUCAAUCACUUUGAUUUGAUCCAGCCUGAUCUUUGGUGUGCUUCAGGAUCCUUUGCAGAAGAUCCAUGGGAGAGAGACAUUGGAAAGCUCACCUAACAGUUUGUUGAGGCAGGGCAGUCUCCUGCCUCAGAAUCAACCUGCUCCAUUCAAAAUCCUCCCAGUAAUUCCAUCUCUGGGAUUUUCCAGGCAUCUCAUCCACCCAUUCCCCAGAGGAGUCCUCAUUUCAGGCAGCAUCUAAGAAUCUCCACAGAUUUUGGCUGCAUGCACACAGUCCUGAGAUCUGCUGAAAAAGAGGUUUCUGCUCUUGGACUCUCAGUGUUCAUUAGCCUGAAAGACCUUAUUGUGGCCUUUCAGUACUUGAAGGAGGCUUGUGAGAAACAAGGAGAGAGACCUUUUACCAGGGCCUGUAAUAACGGGGCACAGGGUAAUGGUUUUCAGCUGAAGGAGGGUGGGUGUAGAUUGGACAUCAAGAAUUAGUGAGGCACUGGAGCAAGCUGCCCAGAGAAGUUGUGGAUGCCCCAUCCCUGGAAGGGUUCAAGGCUAAAUUGGAUGGAGCUCUGAGAACCCUGAUCUAGUGCAAGGUGCCCCUGCCCAUGGCAGGAUAAAAUGGUCUUCAAAGGCCCUUUCCAAUACAAACCAUGCUAUAAUUCUGUGUCCUUUAAAGCUUCCUUCCAACCCAAACCAUUCUGUGAUUCUAGUUCUGGUGAACAAGGGUGAAUGUUUAGUCUCUAAAAAAAGUCCUUUGAGUUUCUUAUUAUCCUUUUACACAAAUUAUGUUUGGACCCCACAGGAUACUGGAAUUCUGGUUUAAUAAUGUUAAAAACUGGUUCAGUUCUUGAGGGUUGUAACUAUUUGUGGAUCAAUACUUUGAAUGAAAACAGCAGAAAUAAUUACAGCUGUUGUAGAAGAGAGCAGGAAAACACUACAGGCAUACCAUUAACACUGAGAUCAUUUCUGUGCUCAUUUUACUCCUCAAUGCUACCCAUUCAUCUGUUCUUUAGGAAUGUGAAAGUUUUGUAUAGUGCCUAACUGGCCAUAGUUCAAUACUAUCAGAAUUUAAAGGCAAAUACUUUUCCACCUUGGGAGUAGGUGGGUGCUGUUUCUGGAGCAGCCUCUCUCCAGAGAACAUGAGCCCAAGGCAAUUGCUAACAAAACUGGUGAGCACCACAGAUCACCACCCUGCAAACUAGAGAAGGUUUUUUUUUUGCAGCCCAGAGAACUGCAAGGUGCAAUAAAAAGAUACUCUCUGCCACCUCAAACUGUGUCUCUCCAGCCAGUAGCACCCCCAGGGAACUUGCUGUGCUCUGUGCUGCUCUGGGUUCAGGAUGACCCCUCAGCCCGGGACUGCAGCACUGCUCCUCCUCACCAGGAGCCUUCCCCACGGGCUCUUUUAAUCAUUAUUUCACCCAACUCCUCAGCAGGGUCAGGUCCCUGGAGGAAGAGCUGCAAUACAGCACAGAGGUUUUGCCCUUCUGCAGUUUUUCCAGUGAAAACGAGUUUCCCUGGACUGUGAGCAGCAGCUGAGCUUUGCAGCUGCAAUCUCACUGGCAGGGCUGCCAGCAGCUCCAGGACAGAGGCUCACACACUUCAGUUAAUCAGUCAUUUAUCUGUCUGGGGCCUGUCUGUGCCUUAUCUGUGCUGCCCAUGCACACAGGCUUGGGACCAGGCCAGUACUCCAGCACACUUGGAUGUCUUUUGCUCCCAUGGCUGAGAGCAGCUGGGCAGGAUUUUCAGUGCUUUUCUGUGAGGCUUUUUUUCCACAUAAAAGAGUGUUCACAUCAACCAACAGGCUGCCUUUGAGUUCUCACUACCUCACACCAGUUACAGCCUAGGCCUUGCAGCUCUUAUUUUGCUGCUUUUGGUCCUAGUACUUUUUUUUUUUUUGAGAAUAUCCAUUGAACACUCCAAUAGAUUUUGCAGUGUUUCCAGAGUUUAUCUAUACUUGUCUGCAGUGAACCUGAUAAACCAGUUUUUGCUGUCGCACAAAUGCUAUGCAUUGUUCAGCUCUACAAUGUGUCUUUUAUCACUUAUCUUGCAUUUUCUUGGGGAUUGCUCUUAACUGUUAAAGCUUUGACUAAAAGGUAAAUGGCAAACUUGUGAACAGCUUCACCUGGAGAACUGUCAGACUCAGCAAAGGAUGCUGACAUCUUUUAAGUUACAUAUACCCAUAUCU